GCCAGGCAUGGUGGUGCAUGCCUGUAGUCCUAGCUACUUGGGAGGCUGAGGCAGGAGGAUCGCUUGAGCCCAGGAGUUUGAGGCUACAGUGAGCAGUGAGCUGGGAUUGCCCACUGUGUUCCGCCUAGGUGACAGAGAGACCCUGUCUCUU
ensembl:misc_RNA Metazoa_SRP Metazoan signal recognition particle RNA